UUUGUCAGGAAGAGAGAGCUUCUUUGCUGUCUUGUGUUGGUUGUUGCCCAGUGACAGUUCUGUUGACACUAUUUGGUAGCCGCUACUUCUAAGGUAAGACCUGGAUGGACUACCCCCUGUAUUUUGGUUGGUGCGCCAGGAGGUUCUGAAAGGUUAGGGCAAACCCGGACGACGCUGGGCCAAUUGUGCGCCUCCUUAUGUGACUCCCUAUCACUGCCGGUUGUGAUACAGCCUUGAAUCGAACCAGGGUGCCGCCUCAAGCUCUGAGAUGCAGUGCCUUAGACCCUCAAGCGCUGAGAUGCAGUGCCUUAGACCGCUGCACCACUCGGCAGCCCCUCAUGCAAGGGUUUGUCCAUUAUUAGCCUAUGACCUAAACAAAACAUUAUAUCAAAUGUUUGCUUGCAUAUAAUUGAAGGUCAAUAUUCCUGCCUUAAUGUUCAGGAGUACAUGUCAAGGAACACCACAGGGACAUUUUAAUAGAUAUAGUCUGGUGGCUUCAGUAUAAAAUACUUGAUGAAAUUCCUAGACUAAAGGGUAAAUAAAAACACAUUCAUGUUGUACAAUCAAUUAUAUAUGGAUGUGUUUGUCCUAGACUAAAGAGUAGAUAAAAACACAUUCAUGUUGUACAAUCAAUUAUAUAUGGAUGUGUUUGUCCUAGACUAAAGAGUAGAUAAAAACACAUUCAUGUUGUACAAUCAAUUAUAUAUGGAUGUGUUUGUCCUAGACUAAAGAGUAGAUAAAAACACAUUCAUGUUGUACAAUCAAUUAUAUAUGGAUGUGUUUGUCCAAGACAGUUUCCAGUAAUCACUUCCAGUAAGCUGAGAUUGCCAGAGGCAAGAAGUAAAACAAAAAAAGCAUGACCAACUGAGACAUUACUUACACUGUCCUGAGACCCUGGAGAAGAUCUACUCUAGUAGCUACAGGUGCAUGAUAAGAGACAACUGGUUUACAACAACAAUCAAUGACAAGUGAUACUGACCUGAGAAAUAGUUUGUCAGCUUUAAUGUGCAUUUGUUAGGUUAACAUCUGUAAAUCUUAUUCUGUUGUACUGUAGCCUUGUAAAGACUCAUGGAGACAACGUGUCGUCUCUUUUCCACAACUUUAUUGUCUUGAUAAGGUCAAUCACAAUCAUAAGUUGUUCACUUAUAUUACACCUUGAGGUAAUGAAUCACACAGC